rnacentral:rRNA from 1 species
AAUGGACGCAAGUCUGAUGGAGCAACGCCGCGUGAGUGAAGAAGGUUUCGGCUCGUAAAGCUCUGUUGGUAGUGAAGAAAGAUAGAGGUAGUAACUGGCCUUUAUUUGACGGUAAUUACUUAGAAAGUCACGGCUAACUACGUGCCAGCAGCCGCGGUAAUACGUAGGUGGCAAGCGUUGUCCGGAUUUAUUGGGCGUAAAGCGAGUGCAGGCGGUUCAAUAAGUCUGAUGUGAAAGCCUUCGGCUCAACCGGAGAAUUGCAUCAGAAACUGUUGAACUUGAGUGCAGAAGAGGAGAGUGGAACUCCAUGUGUAGCGGUGGAAUGCGUAGAUAUAUGGAAGAACACCAGUGGCGAAGGCGGCUCUCUGGUCUGCAACUGACGCUGAGGCUCGAAAGCAUGGGUAGCGAACAGGAUUAGAUACCCUGGUAGUCCAUGCCGUAAACGAUGAGUGCUAAGUGUUGGGAGGUUUCCGCCUCUCAGUGCUGCAGCUAACGCAUUAAGCACUCCGCCUGGGGAGUACGACCGCAAGGUUGAAACUCAAAGGAAUUGACGGGGGCCCGCACAAGCGGUGGAGCAUGUGGUUUAAUUCGAAGCAACGCGAAGAACCUUACCAGGUCUUGACAU